rnacentral:rRNA from 1 species
UACGUAGGCAGCAAGCGUUGUUCGGAGUUACUGGGCGUAAAGGGUGUGUAGGCGGUUCUUUAAGUUUGGUGUGAAAUCUCCCGGCUCAACUGGGAGGGUGCGCCGAAUACUGAGGGGCUAGAGUGUGGGAGAGGAAAGUGGAAUUCCAGGUGGAGCGGUGAAAUGCGUAGAGAUCGGAAAGAACACCAACGGCGAAAGCACUCUGCUGGGCCGACACUGACACUGAGAGACGAAAGCUAGGGGAGCGAAUGGG